GCCCAUGCUCUCUGUCCGUAGAGCAUGAGACUCUUAAUCUCAGGGUUGUGGGUUAGAGCCCCACGUUGGGCA